UACAGAGGUCUCAAGCGUUGUUCGGAUUCAUUGGGCGUAAAGGGUGCGUAGGCGGCGCGGUAAGUCGGGUGUGAAAUCUCGGAGCUUAACUCCGAAACUGCAUUCGGUACUGCCGUGCUUGAGGACUGGAGAGGAGACUGGAAUUUACGGUGUAGCGGUGAAAUGCGUAGAUAUCGUAAGGAAGACCAGUGGCGAAGGCGGGUCUCUGGACAGUUCCUGACGCUGAGGCACGAAGGCUAGGGGAGCAAACGGG
rnacentral:rRNA from 1 species